UGCUCAGCUCCUGCUCGAGAACCUCCACCCGAGCUAGGGCUCCUUCCUUUUGAACCUUCACCUUAUCAAGGUGAGCUUGAGCUCCUUCAAAAUCAGCCUUCAGGGCCUCAUAUUGAUGCUGGACCUCAUCCUUCUGACUCACAGCCUCGUCCUUUUCACGAAGGGUCUCCACCAUGGAGGACAGCUGCUUCAAAACUUCUUCACAUCGG
rnacentral:lncRNA from 1 species